GGCAUCGGCGUACGCGGUGAAAUCAUCUCUGCAUAUGUAUCGCAACAUGAAGUAUUCAAACUCAAAAACAAAGAACCUUGAUUUGUGCAAGAUUCUAGCACUCACACGAAUCUAGGGCUCAGCAAUCCGUCGUAUUCAUCCUGAAGGGACUGAGGGAGAUCCAGAUGGUAAAUUGUGACAUGAGGUUCUAUGCCUGCAACACAUGUAGAUAAAUGUCCAUCAUGCGUCGAUGAUAUAUGGGGUCAGAUCAUACUACUACGACAUACACAUGGCUACCACCAUCCAUCCCACUAAGGUCGAGACCUAGGAGCCCACCGACUCGCUUGGUGUGUGUGGAACCUGUGACACCUGGACUCCCGGAUAAAUUCUAGUCGAACUCAAAGCGUAUAAAAGGAAGGAGAUCUACGAAGACUUGGUGCAUAUGACAGGGAGAUCUACUCGUACAUAAGAGGACACCCAAGAACACAGCUACAUAAAAGGUAUGUAUCUCGGUGAUUUUGGGGUUGUACUGGACUUUUUUCGAGAAAUCUCAGUAUUGAACUUCUACUCUACGAAUAGCAAAAUGCUAAAACAAAUUACUGGGUUGUUAGACUAUGAACAGGUGAGUACAUCUCUGCUUUACAAAUGUUGAAUAGUGCUAAACUGCUAAUUAAGCAACCAUUAGAUUCAGAGAGAUGGGUAAGUAGCUGUUUACCAAUUAAGUAACCAUUGGAUUCAGAGAGAUGGGCAAGUAGUUGUUUAUCUCAUCUCCACUAAAGAUGAUUGUCGAUACACUUUUUUGUUACAGGUAAAUGAAGAAUCUUUGCUUAUGGUCCUCUCUUUUUGGAAAACCUGUUUCUGGUGUUUUACAUCAACAAACAGAAUGGUGUGCCAUGAAGUUAUCGUAAGAUUAUUCUCACAGAUUGCAUGAGCUCAUCCGCUGGGUAGUUUUUGGAUUUCCACUUUAAAUCAGAAUAUUAACUGUACCAUGAGCAGUUCUCAGCCUUCCCUGUAUAUUUUUUGUUUGUUAAGUCUUUUCAAUACCUUCUGCUCAUUUUUUCAAGGAGUCUAUUUUCAGAUGCAUAUUUCUAUCUUACCAUAUUUAGCAAGAUUUGGUAACAGAAAAGGUGAGUUGUUUCUUCUUUCAAAAACCUAUUUAUUUAGUAUUUUCUGCAUCAACACGCAGGUAGUAUUUAAUCCUUCAUUUACAUUCCUCUUUGACGUGCUUUAUUCCAAAGCGUUUUAGCCAACACCAAACAAAAAUUACAAGCAAUUUCUCCACUGUUUUCUAUUUUGCUUUCUGUUCUUUUGUAUCCAAUUAGAACAUUUUAGUUUCGCACUAAUGUUUCUUUUAGCCCUUGGGCUCAAUUAUUUACUUCCUGCCCAGAUAUGAUAACUCCUUUCAUAUAGGCAUGGUUAAUAUUUCCAAAACUUUUGUUAGUAUGGCUGAAGUGAAGGAAACGCAAUGGUGUACUUUGUAUCAUGCGAGUAUUGAACAUAUUAAUCAACUUGAUGUUUGUUGUUGCCACCAUAUGCAAGAGUUGGGACACUCUUUUGUUUUCGCAUUCGUAGUGGGCUGGAUAAAAGUUGUAUAUGUAGGCUCAAUACUUUUAUACUUUUCAUGCAUAUGUACUCUCAAAUUAUAAUACAUACACACUUAGCUUUUUCA